AGUGAACGCUGGCGGCAGGCCUAAUACAUGCAAGUCGAACGGCAGCACAGCAGAGCUUGCUCUGUGGGUGGCGAGUGGCGGACGGGUGAGGAAUACGUGGGAAUCUGCCCAGUCGUGGGGAUAACGUAGGGAAACUUACGCUAAUACCGCAUGCGCCCUUCGGGGAAAGCCGGGGACCUUCGGGCCUGGCGCGAUUGGAUGAGCCCACGUCGGAUUAGCUAGUUGGCGGGGUAAAGGCCCACCAAGGCGACGAUCCGUAGCUGGUCUGAGAGGAUGAUCAGCCACACUGGAACUGAGACACGGUCCAGACUCCUACGGGAGGCAGCAGUAGGGAAUAUUGGACAAUGGGCGCAAGCCUGAUCCAGCCAUGCCGCGUGAGUGAAGAAGGCCCUCGGGUUGUAAAGCUCUUUUGUCCGGAAAGAAAAGACGCCGGGUUAAUACCCUGGUGUCCUGACGGUACCGGAAGAAUAAGC
rnacentral:rRNA from 1 species